AUACGUAGGGUGCAAGCGUUAAUCGGAAUUACUGGGCGUAAAGCGUGCGCAGGCGGUUUUGUAAGACAGUGGUGAAAUCCCCGGGCUCAACCUGGGAACUGCCAUUGUGACUGCAAGGCUGGAGUGCGGCAGAGGGGGAUGGAAUUCCGCGUGUAGCAGUGAAAUGCGUAGAUAUGCGGAGGAACACCGAUGGCGAAGGCAAUCCCCUGGGCCUGCACUGACGCUCAUGCACGAAAGCGUGGGGAGCAAACAGGAUUAGAUACCCUGGUAGUCCACGCCCUAAACGAUGUCAACUGGUUGUUGGGGAUUUAUUGACUCAGUAACGAAGCUAACGCGUGAAGUUGACCGCCUGGGGAGUACGGCCGCAAGGUUGAAACUCAAAUGAAUUGGCGGGG
rnacentral:rRNA from 1 species